rnacentral:lncRNA from 1 species
GCACGAGACAGGUUGGUAUGGAGAUUCCAUAAGUUUCUGAGUUCAGAUCCCAGGCUCCCUUACUUACUGGAGAGCCUGGGAUCUGAACUCAGAAACUUACUGAAGCUCCGUACCAACCUGUCUCAUACUAAACAGCAACUACAUGUAUAUAAACACAUGCUUCAAAAGGAGAAGGCCCAAGAACUAGGAGGGUGCACACCAGGGAGCCCUGGCCUAGCCUGAGGAGUCAGAGGCAGCUCUCGAAGGGGGCAAUGAGAAAGCGGUACCCAGAUAAAGAAGGGGAAAAGCUCUCCCUGUAGAACAAGUAUGGGCAUGAAGACCUGGACUUAACGGAGAACUGAGAGCUUAGGUCAUGAAUAUUAAGCAACAGAAUUGUACUUGGCUGCUAAAGACUGCAGCUCAAAAAUCAAGCAUCCAACAACAACACCUGGAAAGAAAAUAGCUCAGACACCACUUCUGUUGUAUCCACUUUCUCUUAGUCUUGACCAGCAUCAACGUCGAUCAUUUUUAGAGGAAAAUUAGACCACAGGAGAGCAGAUAAUGAGAAGGGGAAGGAGGGAGGGCUUUGGCUCCACAUCUGGGCCAGGAUCCACUGAUGCUCGUUUCUGUGUAACCUUGAGUGGGUAAUUAAAACUGUCUUCUAAACCUCAGUUUCUUUAUCUGGAAAAUGGGAUUAAGAAUAUUUACUUUUUAUAGUCGUGGUUUAAAUAAAGCCAUGCAUGUAUGGCCUGGCUCUUGGCAAGGACUCAAGGAAUGUCCUCUCCCUUCACCUGUCAGCGUUCAAAGUUAGAAACUGGCACAUCGUGCAGGAAGCUGACACACCCAGGUCCUCCAAACACCCAAGUCCUCUCUCUAAUCCUGUAUCUUUGAGGGUGUUUGGUUUUGUUCCAGUAUCUUAACCAGUAUUGAGUUAUCAGGUUCGGCCAUGGAACACUCACAAGACUUUCUUAAAAUCAUGUGUUUAAGAUCAUUCAAAGGGAUCAAAACUUCAAUUUGGAUGAAUGCAUCCAAGUGUCCUAUUAAUAAUCUUUCUCAUCAACAAAAACAAAAAAAAUAAAACUGGGAAAAAAAUUAUGAGGAGACAGCUAGUAAAAUGAAUGAGGAUUGCUGUUUUCCUUUUUUUUUUUUUUUUCCAGCAGUGCACACUGAAGGAAUAUCUAUGACCUCAAUUUCCAAUUUCCAUCAGAUUCCAGGAGAUACAUUUGAAGAAAAAAAGCCAAAUCUUUACAGGGAUACCUAGAGCUUUAGAACCAGAAAUCAACUAGAAGAUCAUUAGGUCAACCCCUUCAUUUUCCAGAGGAUGUGAGUGAUUUUUAAAGCUGGAAUGAAGCUCAUACGGGGUUAUCGGCAGAAUUAGGGCUUGAAUUUGGGAGUCCUAAGGCAAUCAGAGCAGUGCAUGUAUGGCAAUGGCACUGAUCAGCUAAGGAGAUUUUCUGCUGAGGACAAGUAACCUAAGUUUCAAAGUUAAAGCAGAGGGUCGUUGAUAACCUGCCAAAUUCACUUGUCUGGAGAAGGAAAGUGAAGUUAAAAGUGCUAUAAACCAACAAAGCCUCAAUUCCACAAAUUUAAGAACAUAUUCUCUUUCCUAAUAGAUGCAAUAAUCUAAUAGAUGCUCUUCACUUUUCAUUGACCCCUUUAAGGGGAGCGGUGGAGUUUUCUCAGAUUUGCAUGUGAUUUGCAUAUUGGUCACACAAUCCCCAGCUCAGGUCAAUGAGUAAUCACAGGCUUGUUCCUGUUCUGGUUCUUGGUCAUUAAGCAAGAAUGCCAGGUGCCUUAGCUUCUGCCAUGGGAAACCAUCACCCAGGAAAGUACGGCCAUUCUCCAACUGCCUCUUUCCGGCUGAGGACCAAGGCAGCCCUCAUAAUCCUGAUGCCCUCCAGAGGCCUUAUAGAAAACCACGAAAGACUCCCCAGUGCAGUGUGUGGUCUGAAUAUAUCAACUAUGAAGGAAACUUCUGGGCCUAUUAAGGACAUUUGAAUUUGGAUUGGGCCUUCCAUGCCACUAGGAAAUUACUGUUAAUUUUUAUGGGUAUAAUAAUUGUAUUAUUGUUAUGUAAGAUAAUAGCCUUACUUUUUAGAUAUGCAUUCUGAAAUAUUUGAGGUUAAAAUGUGAUAUCUGUAAUUUGCUUUAAAAUAUAAACUACUCUAAAAUACUAAGCAGGCCGGGUGCAGUGGCUCAUGUCUGUAAUCCCAGCACUUUGGGAGGCCGAGGCAGGCAGAUCACUUGGAGUCAGCAGUUCGAGACCAGUCUGGCCAACAUGGUGAAACCCCAUCUCUACUAAAAAUACAAAAAUUAGCUGGGUGUGGUGGUGCAUGCUUGUAAUCCCAGCUACUGGGGUGGCUGAGGCAGGAGAACCACUUCAACCAUUGAGACGGAGGUUGCAGUGAGCGGAGAUCACACCACUGCACCCAGCCUGGGCAACAGAGUGAGACUGCCUCAAAAAAAAAAUAAAAUACUGAGCAAAACAAACAAACAAAAAAUAAAGCAAAUGCAGCAAUAUGUUAGUAAAUGUUAAACCAAGGCAUGUGUCCAUUAUAAUAGUCUCUCUACAUUUCUGUAUGUGAAAAAUUGCAUACUAAAAAUUUUAAAGCAAAUAAAGUUAUUCUGUUAUAAUGAGAAAACCCCACCCCAUAGUUGUGGAAUCAUAAAGCUCUCCCACAAGGCACCUUCUCAGUGCUGUCAUCUCAACAUGGCAGAGCCCAACCUGGGUGGAGAGUAUCACCUUCAGCUUUUGGCUCUUAUGAUUCAGUUUUCCAUUCAGUAGAAUGCAGGCAUUAAAUUAGGACUUCCUCUCCAAAGUUACCAUCCUUAAUAAUUCUUAGAAGAAUAUAGCAGGAGCUACUGUAUGAAAGAUCAUAUCAAGGUUAAGGAUUAGGAAAAAGAAUUAGUCUAGUGUUAAAUGAAGUCAACAAAUAUUUGUUGUGCACCUAACUCAUCUCAGGUACUGCAAUAGGUACUAGAAAUGUGGAAGCGAACUAAACAGAUACAGCUCCUGCCCCUGUGAAGAAUACUAUGUAGUUAAGAGGAAAGGCAUUAAAAAUAUUGCU